rnacentral:misc_RNA from 1 species
UCUUUUCUUUUGAUAAGAGAGUUUUUAAAACCAGUGUUAUUUUUGUAAAUUUAAGAGAAGUUUGUGUAUUGAAUUUUUUAUUUUUAAUAUUAAAGAGCUUUGUUAAACUUAGACUUAAGUUUAGGUCAUUUUGGGGGUUUAGCUCAGUUGGCUAGAGCAUCGGCUUUGCAAGCCGAGGGUCAAGGGUUCGAGUCCCUUAACCUCCAUUGGGCUUAUGUCCUAAAUCGUAAUUAAGUAUGUUUUUAAGCAACUUUGUUAAAGUAAUUGUUGGAAUGUGAAACAGAGGAAGUUAAAAUUUCUGGGUUAAGUUGAGAUCUGUUGAUAUUAAGAAGAAUCUCUAGAAGCAAAAGCAAGCUUUCGAUAAAACCCGAAGUUGUUUCGCUAAAGUGCAAGGAUUAAACAGGAUUGUAUUUUCCAGUAGCCUAUUUUAUAAACGAUCUGCAUUUAGUAAAUAGUUUUUAGUUAAGAAAUAAUGUAGAUUGCUAAGUGUGAUGCC